rnacentral:rRNA from 1 species
GAUGAACGCUAGCGGCAGGCUUAACACAUGCAAGUCGAGGGGUAUAGGUUUUCGGACCUAGAGACCGGCGCACGGGUGCGUAACGCGUAUGCAAUCUACCUUUUACAGAGGGAUAGCCCAGAGAAAUUUGGAUUAAUACCUCAUAGUAUAAUGACUCGGCAUCGAGACAUUAUUAAAGUUCCAACGGUAAAAGAUGAGCAUGCGUCCCAUUAGCUAGAUGGUAAGGUAACGGCUUACCAUGGCGACGAUGGGUAGGGGUCCUGAGAGGGAGAUCCCCCACACUGGUACUGAGACACGGACCAGACUCCUAGGGGAGGCAGCAGUGAGGAAUAUUGGUCAAUGGGCGCAAGCCUGAACCAGCCAUGCCGCGUGCAGGAUGACGGUCCUGUGGAUUGUAAACUGCUUUUGUACAGGAAGAAACAGUUCUACGUGUAGAACCUUGACGGUACUGUAAGAAUAAGGAUCGGCUAACUCCGUGCCAGCAGCCGCCGUAAGAC